GGUUUUUAACAAUUUUUAACUUAAGCAUAAACAAAAAAAAAAUCUUUUUUUAAAAAUGAUAAAAGGUUUUUUAUUGAUUUUAUAUUUAUUUUAUUAGUGAUGACAAUGGACCAGAUAAGUAAAAGUUAUUUCAUUUAUAAAUUUUUAAUUUUCUGUUAUGUUAUAGUUAUGUUUUAUAAUUUUUUUUAGCUUGCUAAAGGUUAGACCUAAGUAUUUAUUUAUUGCUCAAACGAGUUUUUAACCAAAGUUGUUUGUUGCUUGAUCUUAGUUAAAUCACUCAUAUUGAGUAACAACUUUAAGAUUCAGAGUUGACUCGAAAUGGAAAA